CGAAAGCCUGACGGAGCAAUACCGCGUGAGGGAGGAAGGCUCUUGGGUCGUAAACCUCUUUUGUCAGGGAAGAACACAAUGACGGUACCUGACGAAUCAGCAUCGGCUAACUCCGUGCCAGCAGCCGCGGUAAUACGGAGGAUGCAAGCGUUAUCCGGAAUUAUUGGGCGUAAAGCGUCCGCAGGUGGCUUGUCAAGUCUGCUGUCAAAACCCAGGGCUCAACUCUGGUCAGGCAGUGGAAACUACAUAGCUAGAGUUCGGUAGGGGCAAAGGGAAUUCCCGGUGUAGCGGUGAAAUGCGUAGAGAUCGGGAAGAACACCGGUGGCGAAAGCGCUCUGCUGGGCCGCAACUGACACUGAGGGACGAAAGCUAGGGGAGCG
rnacentral:rRNA from 1 species